rnacentral:lncRNA from 1 species
AAAUGUUUACCUUCACUAUUAUGAGAUACAUUCACUAUUAUGACUGCAUCGAUGGAUCUAUCAAGUCAUACAUACAACCAGUACGUACAAAUUUAUCAUGUCGUUUUAUAUUUUGCCAUAAGGCAGCAUAUGGUACUAAUGUGUAGCUAACACAUUUUUCUUGGCUUGCAGGACAAAACCAGGGAUUUACGGUCUCUUGCAUUAACUGUACUACAUCACAUUCCAUCGCAAGAACAAAGUCAUCCCGCUCCUUGCAAACAUCCAAAGAUAUGUACUACAAGUUCUCACGAAUGUAGUCUAGUUUAGAUAUGUUAGAUAUUAUGUCUACAAUAUUUCAUAAACUUCAUCUGGAGUUAUGUGCGUAUAUUAUGGUAAUGACAGUAGAAUAAUCAUGCAUCGUUGUUGAUGUUUCUUAUGUUAUGUUAACAACAACCUGGGAACCGUAAUGGAUAAACUGCAAUGUGUUUUCUAUGUUU